AAGGUGUUAGCUGAGUGGUUUAGCAUAAUAUUUACACUAUUAAGACAGGAGUUCGAUUCUCCUACGCCUUA